rnacentral:misc_RNA from 1 species
GUUUCAUUGCGUUUUUUUAAAAAAACUUAGCCAACAUCUGAGUUAGACUAUAUACUAUCAAGUUUUUCAUAAUGUUCUUAGUAAACUAAUAACAAGCUUGGUCCAUUUCUUCUAAAGCUUGUUUCUUAACUUGACACUUCUACCUUCAAAAUCCAAAAAGUUGUUAGAACUUCACCAGGUGUUAUCUAGAGAUAUCUACAAAAGAAUUCGUAGUUGAGAGAGGGAAACAAAGAAGUUUCUGUUCCGAAUAUUUACAGAGGAUUUGAGGCAGAUCCUUACAUUCGAAGUU